rnacentral:rRNA from 1 species
AAAGCUCGUAGUUGAAUUUCGGGGUUCUACCGUUGGUCGGGCUAACCAGUCUGUACUAGCGUGUAGAAUUCCUACCUUCUGGAGAACCAUCAUGUUAUUAAUUUAGCGUGGUGGGAAACCAGGACCUUUACCUUGAAAAAAUUAGAGUGUUCAAAGCAGGCUUACGUCUGAAUACAUUAGCAUGGAAUAAUAGAAUAGGACGGUGGUCCUGUUUUGUUGGUUUCUGAAUCACCGUAAUGAUUAAUAGGGAUAGUUGGGGGCAUUAGUAUUCAAUUGUCAGAGGUGAAAUUCUUGGAUUUAUUGAAGACUAACUUCUGCGAAAGCAUUUGCCAAGGAUGUUUUCAUUAAUCAAGAACGAAAGUUAGGGGAUCGAAGACGAUCAGAUACCGUCGUAGUCUUAACCAUAAACUAUGCCGACUAGGGAUCGGACGAUGUUAAAUUUUAUUGACUCGUUCGGCACCUU